rnacentral:rRNA from 1 species
GGCUCAGGACGAACGCUGGCGGCGUGCUUCAUACAUGCAAGUCGAACGAGAAGCUACUUCGGUAAGUGGAAAGUGGCGGACGGGUGAGUAAUGUGUAGAGAAUCUGCCCUGAAGUGGGGGACAACAGAGGGAAACUUCUGCUAAUACCCCAUAUGAGCGUAGUUGCGAUACUAUUCUUGAAAGAUUUAUCGCUUCAGGAUGAGUCUGCAUCUGAUUAGCUAGUUGGGGGUGUAAUGGACCACCAAGGCGACGAUCAGUAGCUGGUUUGAGAGGAUGAUCAGCCACAAUGGGACUGAGACACGGCCCAUACUCCUACGGGAGGCAGCAGUAGGGAAUUUUGCGCAAUGGGCGAAAGCCUGACGCAGCAACGCCCGCGUGAUCGCAGACGGCCUUCGGGUUGUAAAGAUCUGUCAGUAGGGACGAACAAUGACUGUACCUACAGAGGAAGCACCGGCUAACUCCGUGCCAGCAGCUGC